GGGGAAUAUUGGGCAAUGGGCGCAAGCCUGACCCAGCAACGCCGCGUGAAGGAAGAAGGCUUUCGGGUUGUAAACUUCUUUUGUCAGGGACGAGUAGAAGACGGUACCUGACGAAUAAGCCACGGCUAACUACGUGCCAGCAGCCGCGGUAAUACGUAGGGAGCGAGCGUUGUCCGGAUUUACUGGGUGUAAAGGGUGCGUAGGCGGCCGAGCAAGUCAGUUGUGAAAACUAUGGGCUUAACCCAUAACGUGCAAUUGAAACUGUCCGGCUUGAGUGAAGUAGAGGUAGGCGGAAUUCCCGGUGUAGCGGUGAAAUGCGUAGAGAUCGGGAGGAACACCAGUGGCGAAGGCGGCCUACUGGGCUUUAACUGACGCUGAGGCACGAAAGCAUGGGUAGCAAACAGGAUUAGAUACCCUGGUAGUCCAUGCCGUAAACGAUGAUUACUAGGUGUGGGAGGAUUGACCCCUUCCGUGCCGCAGUUAACACAAUAAGUAAUCCACCUGGGGAGUACGACCGCAAGGUUGAAACUCAAAGGAAUUGACGGGGGCCCGCACAAGCAGUGGAGUAUGUGGUUUAAUUCGAAGCAACGCGAAGAACCUUACCAGGUCUUGACAUCGGAUGCAUACCUAAGAGAUUAGGGAAGUCCUUCGGGACAUCCAGACAGGUGGUGCAUGGUUGUCGUCAGCUCGUGUCGUGAGAUGUUGGGUUAAGUCCCGCAACGAGCGCAACCCUUAUCGUUAGUUACUACGCAAGAGGACUCUAGCGAGACUGCCGUUGACAAAACGGAGGAAGGUGGGGAUGACGUCAAAUCAUCAUGCCCUUUAUGACCUGGGCUACACACGUACUACAAUGGCUAUUAACAGAGAGAAGCGAUACCGCGAGGUGGAGCAAACCUCACAAAAAUAGUCUCAGUUCGGAUCGCAGGCUGCAACCCGCCUGCGUGAAGCCGGAAUUGCUAGUAAUCGCGGAUCAGCAUGCCGCGGUGAAUACGUUCCCG
rnacentral:rRNA from 1 species